UUCUAAAUCCUAGGGUAUAUGUAGGAAGAAUGAGACACCUCUCCUGGCUUCUGAUGUUCCCAUCCCUGAGGAGGAACACCUAUUACUCUAAUACUCCCGCCUCUGUUUCACACCUUUACUCACUUUCCCCAGGAAGGUGGGAUGACUUUUCUGAUGAUUAGUUGUGAAAAAGAAAUGGUUCUCUUUUUUGUUGUUCUUUUUGAGAGUUAGCAUAUUUUAGAAACAAUAUAUCCUUGGUUAUCCUUGCCUAUGAAAUUCUACCUCUACUAAUAGAGACCUACAGGGAUCCAGCAUUUUCUAUGGUUCAAGUGGCAAUUUUGUCUAAUGCUAGAGCUUGGUAUUAAGAAAUUUAUUUGCCCCAAAAUAUACCUUGCCAAACAACCAGUAUCUGGUGGUUUGGACCAGGGUUAUGAAGAACUUAACAGCAAAAGUAGAUUUAAGUACAAAAGUGUACUUACAAGUUUGGGACUUUCCAUGAGGAGAGAGGAUUUUGACCUCAGGAGCAUGCAGUGACAUUUAUUUUGCAAUAUUUUAUAGUUUACAGUUUAUGUGUAACUUUUAACUGUAGUGAUCCCAGCAGGCAGCUGUGGUUCCUGACCUCUGACAAUGUAAGAUUUUCAGAGGACACCUUCUCCUGGUCCAGGGAGUUACUUGAAGGGGGCUUGAAAUACAUGAAGGUAAUGGACCCAAAGAAGAUCACCACAGCCAUGAGAUGAGAGCUGCAUGUUCCAAAAGCUCACUCAGAGUAAAGGAUUGUAUUCUUCUUUCCUAGGAAGUUCACCAGCAUUUUGGGAGUAAUGACAGAGGAAUAGCAGAAAUCGACGAAGGACAAGCUGCUGAGGAAAUAGUACAUGGGGGUGUGAAGUAGAGGGCUGACUGCAAUCAGGAGAAUCAUGCCCAGGUUGCCCACUACUGUGACCACAUAGAUUCCCAGGAACAGGAGGAAGAGGGGCAGCUGGAGCUCUGCUUGCUGUGUUAAACCAUCUAAGACAAACUGAGCUGCCAUAGAAUAAUUUUCCAUGGUCAUUCUUCUUUAGGCAUUUCUGUGAAAAUAGAAAGUAUGAAUUACCUUAACAUGGACCCUCACUGCUCUUCCAAACAAAACCAAAUUGCAUAAGGGAGGUUGACAGCAGCUAACAGACUGAGUCAUAGUUUUCAUUGUCUCUAAACUUGAUACCUCUGCUUUGUCUCCCUAAAGUUCCCUGGGCCUUCUCCAAGUUGGUCCAGAAUUUAAGUUACAAAAAAGUACUUCCUGACUGACUCAGUAACAUUUGCCUCCUGAAUUUGGUAGAAAAAAAGCAAAUGUUUACUUUGUGGGGAGAAUUUCUGAUAGCCAAUUUGUCACAGUUAAACAGUAGAAGAGAUUGAAGGAAGAUUCAAUCACUUUUUCAAUUUCCCCAGUUUUCUCCUACUCAAAGGCCUGCACAUAUUUCUCACAAUAUCUGAAAACAAGGAGAGGAUGACGCCUCAGCCUCGGAGAAUUGAAAGUGUCUAUUACUUCCAACUGGAGUGAUGGUGGGCAUGGGGUUGGGUGUAAGGCAUCUACUCAUUAUGCUGAAUAAAAAUACCUCCAGUGUAAAAAUACUGCAGAAGUGGGAGUCUCCACAUAAUACCUCUGGCCCUCUGCUAAGCUGGAGAAGGGUGGGGGAGGCAAAAGCUUCAUCAUUGGAAUCACUGAUGAGAACAAUCUCUUGUAACCCAGGUGUUCAUCUAUAAAGUUCACAGAGUCUUAUCGGACCUCAACUAUUGCCAGAAGAGUUGGCUGGCUGGAAUCCUAGCAGUGAACUACUUCCCCCCUGACUUACGAGAUCCGCACACCCCACAGAACAGACCUUACGGUGGCAGGAAAAGGUGCUUCUGAAGGUGUCUGAGAAGAAUGUUGCUAUGGGUGUAAAUCUUGAACUUUCCAAAGCGUGGUACCCUUGGUGGUUUGGGCCCUGGAUACAAAGAAAUAAAAGAGAAUGCUGUACUUUUCCCAGAAGAAGCACUAGAAUCUAGUUGGUCCACCCUUUUCAACAUGAACUGGCUCCCUGGUGGAGCCAUUUCAGAGGAGUGUGUGUGUUGUCAGGUGCCAGUUAUUCAUUUAAGGCUCCAAAUAGUCCAGCUAGAAAGAAACCUGUUCAGUUUUGCAAACUCAGCACUUCCAAUGUCUAUUUGACAACAGAAAUAUUGAAUGAGCUUAAUGAGGUGAACUAUAGUCUACUCAGCAAUGAAUGGAAAGGUUUGGGUAUCAAAGUAGGUGUAUUUCAAGGGUUGACUUUACUGCAGACCAGUUUGUAACACUGGGCAAGUCAUUUCAUGUAAACUUCAUUGUUCUAAUCUGUGAAGUGGGAUACCUGUUUCAAAGGUAAAAUGGUAAAUGUAAAGAUUCAUUAUCUAAAAACACUUGUCAACAUUUCAUGUGGCACAUAUUGUUAAAUACAAUUGAACAGAGAAAAGUACAUAACAUCAGGAGAUGAAAAUACACUACCUUUGUAUGAAGAAAAGACAGACACAUGUGUUUCUUUGCCCUAGGUCCUUCACUUUGGUAAGAAUAACCAAAAUGUUUUAAACAUUUGGUGCUGGUUAGGUUUUAAAAUGUUUGUUUUCAGAUUUGGAAAUUUUGAGAGGGAUUUAAAGUGUUUGGCCUUUUUUGAAGGAGUUGGGGGCACUGAAGUGUUUUCAUCUCCAAGGGACAUGUGCUUAUGAGGCCAGGAGGAAACACAGCAGAGCUAUGCAAGCUGAAUGGACUCUUGAUCCAUCUCCUAGUGACCUCAGAACAUUUUUCUUUCUUUCUUUCUUUUUUUUUUUUUUUUUGAGAUAGAGUUUUGCUCUGUCGCCCAGGCUGGAGUGCAAUGGCGCCAUCUCGGCUCAUUGCAACCUCUGCCUCCCAG
rnacentral:lncRNA from 10 species